AUGUGGUCAUGCUCAACGGCGUCCUUGGCAUCUCGGGGUGAAUUUGUUCAGGGUAAGAGACCCCUGUACUGCUGGAAGCAGAAAUCGACCUCCCCACUGCAUUACGGGCUUGUCAGCUUUCAUCCGUUACGCACACAGGUAGCGGGUCCAGGAGCCAAGCUCGUGUUCCAUCCCCAGCCUCCAGCAGCAAGUGCUGUGGUGGAUCUUGGUCUUGCUGACGCAGGCUCUGCCCCCUGCUCCCCGCGGCCAGGGCACCAGCUUUGCACCCGCGUCACUGUUUUACCUCCGAGUCUCCCUGGCUCUCCAGGCAGGGUCACUAAUGCCACCUCUGCGCGUCCUGCCAGCAUCCUGGGCCUCCCUCGGCCACGCCCCCAGGGACCCUGCACCCUCCCCCCACUCAAACAGCACCCGGGCAGGCCUGGCCACUUCCAUCAGUUCAUGGCGCCCUCCCUGGCGCAGAAGUGGGGGCCGUCCCACUUCCUCAGUGUCCUCUGGGACCAUUUCCCCUACAAAAGCAUCUUGGUGUGGGUGCUCGGAGGACCUUCCCCCCGGAACUCCCAGCUCCGGGGCACGGCUGGGGACGCCACGGCUCUUCCACCCACUUGCUCCGUUCAUUCUUUCCAGGGUGUCUGCUGUUCAAAUGCAACUUCAUGCCAAUCCUUCCUUCUCUAUUUUCCAUAUGUUUUUAUUUUGCUCUAUUUUCUGGGGGAUUUCCUCAACCUUCUCUUCCAUUUCUGGUUGCCAUCUGUUGUCAUGUUUCUAACCCCGAAAAGCUCAGCUGUGCUCCCUGAAAGGAGCUGCCUCAUGGCGACGUGCUCUGCUGUCCCCCCUCAGCUCCCUGAGGGAUUGCUCACGCCUUCUCUCUCCUGCCCGCUCCCCACGGGCCCACGGCUGUUCACGGGGCUGCUGCUCCUCUCCGAGACUCUCCUCACAGGCACUCAUCUGGGGCUGCUGCUGCUGCUGGGAGGACACACCUGGCCGUCUGGGGGAGGCCAACUCCACCUCUGGCGUCCCAGCUCUUCCCCCGCCAGGCCGCAGGGUCCUAGGAACUCAACCAGUGAGGACCUCCAAGCGUGCACUAGAUCCUGUCCUUGGCCCGGUGCCUCCGUCCUCAGCUGGACCGGGGCCCUCCCUACAGUGGCCACUGACCCGCUCCUUGUGCUUGCGGGCCCCCCACGGCAGCAGGAGGGGCCAUUCUCCAGUCCAACCGCAGGCAGGACUGCAGUUUGUGGCGAGGAGCACCCACCCUGCCACGAGGACGUCCCACAGUGGGCGUGCGCUGCUGAGACCCACUGGCUUCACGCACGAAGGAAGACCAGCCGUAGCGAAUAG
rnacentral:lncRNA from 1 species